GCUUUCGUAAUUUGGCGUAAGAAACACAAGGAACCGAUGGAACCCAAGCGCGAACGGAAGCGGCUGUACCGCGGCUUGGGCAAUCAUGAGCUCAAUCUGUCCUCCUUGUCCUCGUCGCCGGCGUCGGUAGCUAGGCAGGACAGUGCCAUAACCAUCACAAGUUCAUCACAGUCCAGUGGGACCACCCAAAUGGUCGUCUCGCCCGACGAUCCCCGCCCGACCCCCAGUGACGUGGCGGCAGAUGUACGGAAUUGGGUGUAUUUACCUAGUUAUUAUCACUCUGAUGAUUUUACAAGCUCUGAUAUGAGCCUUAACGCAGUGAACGGUACUCGGCUGCCUAACAUACAGCCAAUACCCAGGCGUCGAGAGACGGUAAUCCUAAAUAAGAAAGCCAUGGAUAUAUAUCUGGCAGGGACUACAGGCGGGUAAUAAUAAUAAUAAUAUAAGCCCACUAAUAAUUAUGUAAUUAGAUUUCAACAUCUAAAUAAAAACAUAUCUAUAUUCUAGAACUUUCAAAUUCUGCUUAUCAGACUAAAUCGGAGCACCCAGACACUGUGUGGGAGAGAGAGUGCAAUAUGUUUACGAGUUCGUGUGUGUGGUUGCUGGGCCCGAAAGAAAAGGAGAAAUAGACAGAAGAAACAAGGAAAGGCAACGCGGAAUGGAAAAAUAACACUGCUCGACAAAAUCAAACAUUUUUUUUCAGCUUCGAAGCAAACCAACUUGUUUGAAGAAUUUUUAAAUGGGUAUUGUUUCGUAACGGUAGCUCUUUAUUUUAGAGGUGGCGCUUCUAUUUUUAUCAUAACUGGAUCGAAGCGGAAAAAUCUUGUCGAGUAGUGUAAUUAUUAGUACUCAUUAAAUGGCUGCGAAAGUCAUUGCGCAUUGCCCCUUUUGGUAAAUAUACAUACAUCCUCAUGUAUGUACUGAACUUCCAGUUCUU
rnacentral:lncRNA from 1 species